UGGCACAUACUUUGUGGGUGGAGACGUUGCGCUGCGUUAAACCUGUGAAUACUGGUGCUAAGAGGCAACAUGGGAAGGCCAGAGCAAAAUUGCAUAGAGUCCAGACAAAUGAGUGCAAGAUCCAAUCAGCACAGGUGUGAUCCUGUCCCUGCCGGAGGCUACUGGUGAUAAAUAGAUACUUUGGCAACAUUGUAUUGCUUAACAGAGCAACAGACUGUCUUUAAAGACUUCAAAGGAGGUGAAGAGGGAGUGGUUAAGAGAGCAAGCAUCAUCCAGUGAUUGAGAGCAGAGAUGUGUGAAAUGAGUAUCUACAGAGACAGAUGUGGAGCAUUUCUGCCAUUAUUUAUUUAUUUACUCUAUUUAUUAUAUAGUAUGACUUUCUCAUUGAGACUCAAGCAGAUUUUAAGAUGUUAAAAGCAAUGCAAUAAAAAACAAUGUAAUACAAACAAUA